UGGGAAGUGUGGCUACACCGUGGCUUGGUC
rnacentral:piRNA from 1 species